rnacentral:rRNA from 1 species
UACAGAGGUCCCAAGCGUUGUUCGGAAUUAUUGGGCGUAAAGGGCGCGUAGGCGGUCGGAUAAGUCUUGUGUGAAAUCUUCGGGCUCAACUCGAAGUCUGCACAGGAAACUAUCUGGCUUGAGUGUGGGAGAGGUGAGUGGAAUUCCUGGUGUAGCGGUGAAAUGCGUAGAUAUCAGGAGGAACACCUGUGGCGAAAGCGGCUCACUGGACCACAACUGACGCUGAGGCGCGAAAGCUAGGGGAGCAAACAGG